GAGCUAACAGCGUUAAGUAGACCGCCUGGGGAGUACGGUCGCAAGAUUAAAACUCAAAUGAAUUGACGGGGGCCCGCACAAGCGGUGGAGCAUGUGGUUUAAUUCGAUGCAACGCGAAGAACCUUACCUACUCUUGACAUCCAGAGAACUUUCCAGAGAUGGAUUGGUGCCUUCGGGAACUCUGAGACAGGUGCUGCAUGGCUGUCGUCAGCUCGUGUUGUGAAAUGUUGGGUUAAGUCCCGCAACGAGCGCAACCCUUAUCCUUGUUUGCCAGCGAGUAAUGUCGGGAACUCCAGGGAGACUGCCGGUGAUAAACCGGAGGAAGGUGGGGACGACGUCAAGUCAUCAUGGCCCUUACGAGUAGGGCUACACACGUGCUACAAUGGCGCAUACAGAGGGCGGCCAACUUGCGAAAGUGAGCGAAUCCCAAAAAGUGCGUCGUAGUCCGGAUUGGAGUCUGCAACUCGACUCCAUGAAGUCGGAAUCGCUAGUAAUCGUGGAUCAGAAUGCCACGGUGAAUACGUUCCCGGGCCUUGUACACACCGCCCGUCACACCAUGGGAGUGGGCUGCAAAAGAAGUAGGUAGUUUAACCUUCGGGGGGACGCUUACCACUUUGUGGUUCAUGACUGGGGU
rnacentral:rRNA from 1 species